rnacentral:rRNA from 1 species
UACGAACUGUGCGAACGUUAUUCGGAAUCACUGGGCUUACAGGGUGCGUAGGCGGCCCAACAAGUCAGGUGUGAAAGCCCUCAGCUCAACCGAGGAACUGCGCUUGAAACUGUUAGGCUCGAGUCAGCUAGAGGUGCACGGAACUUCCAGUGGAGCGGUGAAAUGUGUUGAUAUUGGAAGGAACACCGGAGGCGAAAGCGGUGCACUGGGGCUGGUCUGACGCUGAGGCACGAAAGCCAGGGGAGCGAACGGG